AUUGAACGCUGGCGGCAGGCCUAACACAUGCAAGUCGAGCGGGGGUAGCAAUACCCUAGCGGCGAACGGGUGAGGAAUGCUUGGGAAUCUGCCUGGUAGUGGGGGAUAACGUUCCGAAAGGAACGCUAAUACCGCAUACGUCCUACGGGAGAAAGGGGGGAUCUUCGGACCUCUCGCUAUCAGAUGAGCCCAAGCCGGAUUAGCUAGUUGGUGGGUAAAGGCCCACCAAGGCGACGAUCCGUAGCUGGUCUGAGAGGAUGAUCAGCCACACUGGAACUGAGACACGGUCCAGACUCCUACGGGAGGCAGCAGUGGGAAUAUGGACAUGGCGAAAGCCUGAUCCAGCCAUGCCGCGUGUGU
rnacentral:rRNA from 1 species